UAAAUUUUAUUAUAAAAUAAAUAUAACUAAUUACGGUUUAGUAGAUUAAAAUUUAA
rnacentral:tRNA from 1 species